UGCCGUAAGUACGAAAAAAUUUAAAUUAAAAAAAUUACAACAAAAUCAAGAAAAGAACUUUGUGACACUUAGCAUUAAUGCACGAUAACGUUAUAUUCUUUCAUAUUACAAAUUUAACCUUUGCGUGAGCUAAUUUGAAGCAAAUUACUAAGCACAGUUCCAUUCUUUUUAUCAAAAAAAAAUUUAAAAGAACAAACAAAACUAACAGUUUAUCAUAACCAACAACAUUGAAUAGGAAAUGCUGCACCUUCAAAAAAAAAAAAAAAAAAAACCGACCGUGCGGAAGAGUUGUUCGACAAGACAUUGAACAAACAUUUAAUGCCAUUCCACGUCCAAUCAUGUUCCGUCUGCAGUGAUGUUGAUGAUGAAGAUGCUGAUAAUGACGAAAAAGACGAGCGAGGCUACUCGAAAAAUGACGAUGAAGAUGAUGAUGAUGAAAAAGAUGGUGAUGGUGUGUAGUGGAAGUGCCCGUUUGUGGUGGCGAUUCUGGAAGAGAUUUUACUCCUAAAAGACUUCACGUGAGAUUCAUUUUUCUGUUGAUGAGAUAUCGAGAUUAUUUGUGGUGCAUUACCUCA